AGAAAGGAGAGGGAAAAAAGGAUGAAUUCUAUGGUUUAGUGGACACACAAGUCCAGGUAGAAGAGUUUGUCAAGGGCUAGAUCAUGCAGAGACUCACGUGACCCACAAAGUUGGAUUCUAUCCUAUAGACAGGCAACGAGAACCCCCAGGGACUCUAAUUAGGGAACUAAUCUUAUCAGUUUUCAGUUUCAGAACACCCUGACAACAGUGUGGACAACUCAAAGGCUAGCAAGACUGGGAAGAAAAUUGUCAUAAUUAAUUUAAGAGAGUUCAGACAAACCGACAUGAAGGUUAUUCAAUGGCGAUUUUGAAUGCUGGGAUUCCGUGUUUCACAGUUGAUACAGCUGAACAGAUAAAAAAAGGAACUCACCCAUAAAAGACUUGGACUCUGCUUGAAAUUCCCAACAUAUGAUUUUGAAGAUCAUCUAAAAGUUUCUCUUUUUCCCUUUCACCAAAACAUUCCCACGGUAAAUGCACU